rnacentral:rRNA from 1 species
GACGAACGUUGGCGGCGUGCUUAACACAUGCAAGUCGAACGGAAAGGCCCUGCUUUUGUGGGGUGCUCGAGUGGCGAACGGGUGAGUAACACGUGAGUAACCUGCCCUUGACUUUGGGAUAACUUCAGGAAACUGGGGCUAAUACCGGAUAGGAGCUCCUGCUGCAUGGUGGGGGUUGGAAAGUUUCGGCGGUUGGGGAUGGACUCGCGGCUUAUCAGCUUGUUGGUGGGGUAGUGGCUUACCAAGGCUUUGACGGGUAGCCGGCCUGAGAGGGUGACCGGCCACAUUGGGACUGAGACACGGCCCAGACUCCUACGGGAGGCAGCAGUGGGGAAUAUUGUACAAUGGGCGGAAGCCUGAUGCAGCAACGCCGCGUGCGGGAUGACGGCCUUCGGGUUGUAAACCGCUUUCGCCUGUGACGAAGCGUGAGUGACGGUAAUGGGUAAAGAGGCACCGGCUAACUACGUGCCAGCAGCCGCGGUGAUACGUAGGGUGCGAGCGUUGUCCGGAUUUAUUGGGCGUAAAGGGCUCGUAGGUGGUUGAUCGCGUCGGAAGUGUAAUCUUGGGGCUUAACCCUGAGCGUGCUUUCGAUACGGGUUGACUUGAGGAAGGUAGGGGAGAAUGGAAUUCCUGGUGGAGCGGUGGAAUGCGCAGAUAUCAGGAGGAACACCAGUGGCGAAGGCGGUUCUCUGGGCCUUUCCUGACGCUGAGGAGCGAAAGCGUGGGGAGCGAACAGGCUUAGAUACCCUGGUAGUCCACGCUGUAAACGGUGGGUACUAGGUGUGGGGUCCAUUCCACGGGUUCCGUGCCGUAGCUAACGCUUUAAGUACCCCGCCUGGGGAGUACGGCCGCAAGGCUAAAACUCAAAGGAAUUGACGGGGCCCCGCACAAGCGGCGGAGCAUGCGGAUUAAUUCGAUGCAACGCGUAGAACCUUACCUGGGUUUGACAUGGAUCGGGAGUGCUCAGAGAUGGGUGUGCCUCUUUUGGGGUCGGUUCACAGGUGGUGCAUGGCUGUCGUCAGCUCGUGUCGUGAGAUGUUGGGUUAAGUCCCGCAACGAGCGCAACCCUUGUUCACUGUUGCCAGCACGUUAUGGUGGGGACUCAGUGGAGACCGCCGGGGUCAACUCGGAGGAAGGUGGGGAUGACGUCAAGUCAUCAUGCCCCUUAUGUCCAGGGCUUCACGCAUGCUACAAUGGCUGGUACAGAGAGUGGCGAGCCUGUGAGGGUGAGCGAAUCUCGGAAAGCCGGUCUCAGUUCGGAUUGGGGUCUGCAACUCGACCUCAUGAAGUCGGAGUCGCUAGUAAUCGCAGAUCAGCAACGCUGCGGUGAAUACGUUCCCGGG